GAAGGUGUCUUUUAAAUUAUAGUGCAUAUAGUUAUAACUAACAGCUGUGAAUUCAGAGCUGUAAAAAUAAAGCAAAGAAACCACAUUGUGUUUGAGUCAGCAAUCUUUAGGUCUCUACUAAGUUAUCCUAAAUAUAAUCCUAUGUUAGUCCCUAAACAUACUUAGUCCCUAUAUUCUAAAUAUAAUCCUACUUCCUAAAGAAAAUCAUGCUUUCCCCUAAUUCUCUGUUAUCUAGAUGUUGCUUUGGUUAAAGGAAGAACACAAAUAUCCUGCCAAAAGGUAUUCUGUUCAGUGCAAAAGAAACAGUCCCACAUCCUGCUCUCUCCCACAACACACUAUGCAUUCAGGCUUAUUAUAUUUUACAUGUCCUAUGCUUACAAUUCAUUCAGAUGGAGUCUCACUCUGUCACCCAGCCUGGAGUGCAGUGGCGCGAUCUCGGCUCACUGCAAGCUCCGCCUGCCAGGUUCACACCAUUCUCUGCCUCAGCCUCCCGAGUAGCUGGGACUACCGGCGCCCUCCACCACGCCCGGCUAAUUUUUUGUAUUUUUAGUAGAGACGGGGUUUCACCGUGUUAGCCAGGAUGGUCUCGAUCUCCUGACCUCGUGAUCCGCCCGCCUCGGCCUCCCAAAGUGCUGGCAUUACAGGCGUUAGCCACCACGCCUGGCCGCAUGCUUGUUUUUAAAAUAUUUUAGUUUUUAUUUCUAAAAUAGUAAAUAUCAAAAGACACAACCGACUUAAAUAAAAGCUCUUUGGAAUUUGCAAUAAUUUUUCUUUAUUUUAAUUAUUUAUUUAUCAUUAUGAAGAGAGUUUGAGAUCCAGUCAUUUGAUAGAAAACCAGAGCUUCCUGUGUCAAUAAGGACUGACCUCAAAAAUGUAAUGUGACCAGACAAAAGAAAGUUGCAAAAUAUGUAGAGUGUAAAACAAUUUAUAUACAAUUUUAGGACAUGAAAACAAAUUCUACAUAUUAUUUAUGACCAUACACAUAUGUAAUAAAAUGUUUUAAAAGGGAAUGGACAUAAUAAAUUCUUAAUUCAGGGUGUUGGUUACCUCUAGGCAAUAAUAUUUAAUCAUAUAAAACGAACCCCAGGCCAAAAAGUUUCAGAAUCAAUGUUUUAAAAGACUGUGUCCACCAUGUAGUUAUUAAGGGUAAUUAAUUGCUUUCUUCGUUUUUGAUAAUCAAAACACACACACAUGAUUUGCUGACCAGAAUAUCUGACUGGCUUAAAAUCAUCAGUAUAGCCACACUAUGAUGAAAUAAUUAAACUUAAAGCACAACUAACAUAUUGGCAAGUAAAGUUUGUCUUAUCUGAUAAGUUUUGGUGCUGCACGUUCACCUUAUAUUCUUUCCACCUUUCUAAUACCCCACUCUUCUUUUGAAGUAUUAUCUCAUUUUACCACCCUCCAUCAUAUCCACUUGCUUCUUUUCCCUUCAUUUACUCUCUGUACUCUCUGCCUUCCACAUUCUUUAUUCCCCCUUUUACUCUUAUCCUCUUCCUUCUAUCCUGACAUUGCAUAUCUAGGGUUCAGUAGUAUCCACUGUUCCAGGCAUUCACUGGGGGUCUUGGAACAUAACCCCCAUGGAUAAGGGGGGAAAACUGUACAUUUUAUUGUGUAGGUCUAUGGGUGCUGUGCUGUGUUCUGUGGCAAAACAUAGGGAAGAGACCAGGGAUAAGGAUCUUUGCAAAGACUUUUCAGCUGCCAGUGGAGAAGAGCUCAAGGGAGAUCAAUGUACUCACUCUCACUAAUCCUCUUCUGGGGCAGAUGCUGGCAAUGUUUACUGAGUUCUAGCUAUUUUCCCUAGCACAAACAAGGCUCAAAUUCACCUCCCAUUUUACCUCCUAUGGACAGAACCACUGGAAAGAUCACUCCCUUAAAGAGCUUAUUCACUCUGAGCCACACCAUUCAUUCAGUGAGAAGCUUAAGAAGAAACACUGCCACAGUGGUGGCAGGUUGCCAGGGAGUACUACCUGGUAUGAAAAAUAUAUAUAAACAGAACUAUCAGCUCACUCAAGCUGCCAGAAUGUGCCAACAGUUGUUACUCUCUCUGGUGAAAACAACAUUAUUUUUCAUUUAUUGUAAAGAAAAACACUGGCAUUUCCUAUGACAGAGCAUUUAGUUGUAGAUGAGCCAUAUUCUAAUAAUAUAGACUGUUUUCAAGCUCAUCCCUAAAAGGAAGAGAACCAGAGAGGAACAUAUUUAUUCACCUGUAGUGUUCACUGCCUGAUCUUCUUUUUAAGUGCAAGGUAAGUAUGCAAGACUUUGUGAUUCCAGUUUUAUAAAGUCCAGCUCUUGAGAUUAUCCCGUCCCAUCGCUAGACUCUAUCUGGACCCAUCUCCUAGAGCACGAUGGUCCAGUUAGUGCUGUGGAAUACUGCAUGAUGCCAUUUUUCCCCACCCUCCCCGUUACGUGGCAAACAUCUACAGAAAUCACGCUUUCUCAGCACGUCAAAUCAUACGCCAUCAGAUCCUGUUCUGAUGAACACAACAUGAGGAAAACAAACACAAGGACAAAGAACAUCUAAAAUGACAGAAUCAAAUUACCAUGGAACUUUAUUGUUUAAAUAUUCAAAAAGAUAUCCACCACUGUUUUAUUCCAACUAUAUGACUAGUCUGGAAAAAGCAAAACUACUGAGACACCAAAAAGACCAAUGGUUGCCAGAAACCAGUGGAGAGGAAGAGACGAAACAGUGGAGGACAGAGGAUAUUUAGGGCAGUGAAACUAUUUUGUCUGUGAUACUACAAGGGUAUAUACAUGCCAUCACACAUUUGUCCAACACCAUAGAAUGUACAAAACCAAGAGUGAACCCUAACGUAGACUGUGGACCUUGGGGGUGAUGUGUCUGUCAAGGUAGAUUCCUCAACUGUAACUCUGAUGAACUCUGAUGGGGGGUACUGAUAAUGAGGGAGGCUAUUCAUAUGUCAGGGGUCAUGGGGAAUAUGGAAAAUCUCUGUACCUUCUCAAUUUUGCUGUGAAUCUAGAACUGCUCAGAAAAUAAUAUUAUUAAUUCUAAAGCACAUACUCACUGAACUUGCUAUUACCCUAAAUUAUAAAAAGACAGAGUCACCUUGAAAAUUGCAAAUCACUAAAGAUCAAGGUAACAGAAUACGAGUACUAUCUCCGAAAUUGAAGCAUAUAAAAACACAUAAAGCAAUUAAUUUUAAUUGUAUACUUAGGCAAAAAAAAAUUCACAAAAAUGAUUGAAUAUCUGAUCUUAUUUCAUAAUUGUAAACAGGGAUUUAGUACAAUAUGAAUCAAAACUGGUCCAUCCAUGAAAAUAAAAUGAAAGACAAUUUUUAUUCUAAUUUUAAAUCAGAACUUAUUAUGCCUACUUUAUCCCACAAUUUUACUGAAAGGUUAAUCAGAUAAGAAGGACAGAUUAUAAUUACUUAAUAUUGCCAUAGUAACUUAUGUACCAAUACCUGUUAAGUAUUCACCAAAUGUCAAAACUGUAAGCAGCCUUGCUAUUUAAUAUGAAUGAUGCAGCUGAAACCAGUACCAUGUUAUGGUCUAUCAUAUUAUUUGCUAUUGUAUUAUAUAAAAUGUUAAGAUAACACCAAAAAUUUACUCAGGGGCAUAGCUGCUGGGCAGCAAAGAUUUCAUAUAGCAGGCAUGAGACACCCAUCCUUAGAAAGGCUUGCUUGCAAGGCUAGUCCUUGGCUGGUGUUUGGGACCUUGAAUUUGGGAGGGUUCCCAGCAUUCCCUAACUUAGAAGAAGGGAGUGGCUCACUGUGCCUAAAGUGUUUGUGCAAAUGUGGUUUACUAUGAACAAUUAAUUUCCUCCUGGGAGUCUAGAGUUUUGUUACAUGUGAGGGAGAGGAGAGGUGGCCUAUGUGACUAGCCUCCAUCGAAAACAUGGGUGCUGAGCCUCUAAUGAAACUCUGGUAAGGUAGACAACAUUGCACAUGUGUCGUCAAAAUUUGAGGCUGGGGGAAUUAAGCAUAUCCUGCUAGCUACACAGGAGAUGACUCCUGUAGCUUGUGCCUGGCUUCCUCCAGACUUUGACACAUGCACCUUUUCCUUUCUCAAAUGUUGCUUUGUGUCUUUUUGCUGUAUUAAAUGUAAUAAAUCAAAGCCCCAAGUAUGACUAUCUGCUGAGUCCUGUGAGUCCUUCUCAGUGAAUUACCAAACCUCAGUGAAGGGGGUCUUGGGAACCCCUGAUACAAUUGCAUUAAACAAUUUUUUAUUGUUUAAGUUGAUGUGUUACAUGUGACUACAAUCAGAAGGUAAUUUCACAGAAUACCUUUCCCUAAUCUGCUUAUUUUUUAUUUUUUGACAUUUGCCUUGGAGAUUCCUGUACUUCUAUAUCCACUGGACUAAAGGCAUUAAAAAUGCAUGAAACAAUGAUGUCAGAAAGUAAUUUUUAAAAGCAACAAUCCUAUUUUAACUCAAUUAAAAAUAGAAAAUCUUAAUGACUGACAAUAUAUUCUACAGUAUAAAAGUUUCUGGAACAAAAAAUUAUAAGAUCACAGUCAAUUUUCUCCCACUAGGUAGGAUUUAAUUCAUUUUUAUAAUAAUUGUGCAGCAGGCCAGGUGCAGUAGCACACAUCUGUUGUUCCACCUACUCAGGAGGCUGAGGCAGAACGAUUGCUUGAGGCUAGGAACUAAAGCUGCAGUGUGCUAUAAUCACACCCGUUCAAAAAAAAAGUCCA